AAUUUGGGAACGAGAUGCCCGGGGAUGCAACCAGCCCCGCGCUCGGAGGCGGCGGUCGGAGUUCCGUGCGCAGAGGGCACACAAAAGCCUCGAGGAUCAUUGCCUCGACCCCAUCCCCCACCGCGCGGCGACGCCCCCUACGGGCUGGGACACCUCCACUCUCGGACUGCUGCCGGGUUUCCCUCCGGCUGCGACCCUGGAGAGUUUGCCAUCUCCGUACCACCACCACCACCACACACAGCACCCUCAAGACUCCCUGUGAUCCUGGGAUGCACUCAACGAAGAGUGUGUGGCCCAGGAUUUGAUGGAAAUGCUACAAGAGAAGCAGGCUCUCCCCUUCUGAAAUGAUGAGUGAUAAUGACCAUACAGGUCAACUUUUCCACCACUUGGAGGGAGCCUGUCAAAGAACAAAGGCAACAGAGAAGAGAGCAGAGCUGAGGUUGGGUGAGAGGGAGAAAUUCCUGAGUGCUUGAAUCCCACAUGCCGGAAGCCGCACCACACUUGGACUUCUCAAUACAGGAGCCACUGAGAAACCAAGUCAUGCUGAAGACCUGGAAAUCCCAGCAGGCUGCAAACCAGCUGCAACUACAAUGGGUCAGCCCUUUUGAGAUGCUGCUGACUACCCACUUAUCUGCCAAGUUAGCCAGUGUUAAGCCAUGGAUUCACCACGCUCAGAUAAAACCUGCCCCUCUGGGAUCCCUCCAGAAAAAAACAGGCAUGCUGUUGUGAACCCUAAGAUGGCCUUAAGUUAAUAUUCAAUGCCCAGCCAAAGACCCUAAAUAAGAAGUCAUAAAGGAAACAUGUGCUUUUCAGGUUGGUAUUAUUCUCCCCAAAACCCUUCUUGCAUGCAGGAUGUAAUGAAUCAGAAAUAGUUGUUAGUAAUUUUUUUUUUUUUGAGACAGAGUCUCACUCUGUCACUCAGGCUGGAGUGCAGUGGUAUAAUCUCAGCUCACUGCAACCUCCACCUCUCAGGUUCAAGCAAUUCUCAUGCUUCAGCCUCCCAAGUAGCUAGGACUACAGGUGUGCACCACCAUGCCCAGGUAAUUUUUGUAUUUUUAAUAGAUACAGGGUUUCACCACGUUGCUCAGGCUGGUCUUGAACUCCUGACCUCAAGUGAGCCACAUCUGCCUCAGCCUCCCGGAGUGCUAGGAUUGCAGGUGUGAGCCACCACACCCAGCCAUGAAUCAGAAAUACUUUUUAAUAGGCUUAGGAUUGUUCUCUUGGAUUCCUUAAGGGAUCCACUUUAAUUCUUGGGUGUUUUUUUUUUUUUUAAUCAUGGUGCUCCAACAAGCGGGAUGCCAGUCAGGUAAUCCUGAGCACUUCAGAUUCAGGGGUGAUGUUUGCAUUUCCCAUCAUUAUCCCACAAUGCACCCCUUAGCAUUAAGUAGCCAAAAAGGCAGACAACCAUAUUCCCCAUGAUCGAAAAAUUGAUGAAUAGAAAAAAGGGGAUUAAAACCAGCCCAAUUGUCCCAUAGAAAUGAUAUUACGGUUUUUAAAAGAAACAUAAAAAUUAACCUUCCUGUUUUUAAAAUUUAAAACUUACAUUUAUCUCAUCUGAAUUCCUUCCUCAAAAAACAGACACUCAGGCAAAAACAAAAACCUAAAACUCAUCAGAUCACUGUAUCCAGACAGAGACGCCAGACCCCUCAUCCAUCAUGAUUGCUUCUAUACUCCUCCUUAAUUCCUAUUUUCCCACCUUUCCUGCUAUACAAAACCCCCAAUUUUAGUCGGUCAGACAAACACAUUUGAGACUUUAUCUCCUGUUCUCCUUGGCUGCAACACCCCGUUAAAGUUUUCUUCCCUGGCAAUAGUUACUGUCUCAGUGAUUGGCAUUCUGUGUAACAAGCAGCAGAACCUAGACUGGAACCCUGGUGUUUCAGUAACAUUACCUUGUAGUAAAUGCUGUUGUGUCAUGCCCAGAUUCACUUUACCAAGCCCAGAUCCCACAGAUUAAAGGGCUCAGCUCCACAAGACUUCAGACACCAGCCACAAAUGGGGUCCCCAGGUGACCCACACUUCUGCCCAGUGGACUAUAAAUUCAAGGGUUCUGUGACUUUCCCUACCCAGCUUUGAUAAUUCACUAGAAUCCUCACAGAACUCAGGAAAAUGCCAUACCUACUAUUACACUUUAUUAUGAUGGACACACACGAGCAGCCAGAUGGAGGGGUACUGAGGAAGCAUCUGAAUGCAGGAGGCUCUGUCCCUGGAGAGUUGGGAUGAGCCACUCUCCUGGAUGUGUUCACCAACUCAGAAGCUCUCCAAGCCCCAUUGUGUAGGGAUUUUUUAUGGCAGUUUCAGUAAGUACACAUGAUUGAUUAAAUCAUUGGCCAUUGGUGAUUGAACUCAAUCUCUAGCCCCUCUCCUGCUCUCAGAGGUGGAAGAGCAAGGCUGGAAGUUCUAACCUUCUCAGUACAUGGUUGGUUUUUCCUGUGUCCAGGUCCCAUCCUAAAGCUACCUAGGCCCCCUCUGCCCAACAAGAGUCUUCUCAUUAGCAAAAGAGUAAUUUCCAAGGGUGUUAGGAGCUCUAUGCUGGGAACCAGGGACCAAGAGUAAAUAUAUAUUUUGUAUUUUACCACAGGUACCAAUCACCCUCCAGAUCUAAGAAUGGCUUCAGGCUGGGGCUGCAGUCACCUCUUUGCCCAGCUUCUCCCCUGCCCUAUUCUGCUUCACUUGCAUCCUUAAAGGUUCCACCCAAGAGCUCUUCUACAAGAAAGCACCUAUAAAGCCAGACACAUUGGCUUAUGCCUAUAAUCCUAGCACUUUGGGAGGCCAAGGUAGGAGGAUGGCUUGAGGCCAGGAGUUCAAGACCAGCCUGGGCAACUUAGUGAGGCCCCGUCUCUAUAAAAAAUAAAAAAAUUAACCAGGUGUGGUGGUGCACGUCUCUAGUCUCAGCUACUCAGGAGGCUGUGGCAGGAAGAUGGCUUGAGCCCAGGAGGUUGAGGCUGCAGUGAACUAAGAUCAUGCCACUGCACCCAUCUUGGGCAACAGAAUGAGAUCCUGUCUCUAAAAAAAUAAAAACAAUUUACAACAGUAAGCACCUGUACACAAGCCCCAUCUCCAGUCCUGUUUCUAGGGCUUCCAAUUUAACACACCUAGAGGCUGGGCAUAGUAGCUCAUGCCUGUAAUCCCAAUACUUUGGGAGGCUGAGGCAAGUGAAGCACUUGAGGUCAGGAGUUCGAGACCAGCCUGGCCAACAUGGCAAAACCCCAUCUCUACUAAAAAUGCAAACAUUAGCUGGGCAUGGUGGCACAUGCCUGUAAUCCCAGCUACUCGGGAGGCUGAGACAGGAGAAUCACUUGAACCCAGGAGGUGGAGGUUACAGUGAGCCAAGAUCACACCACUGUACCACAGCCUGAGCAACGAAAGAAGACUCUGUCUAAAAAAAGUAAAAAAUAAAAUAAAACACACCUGGAGCUUUCUA
rnacentral:lncRNA from 1 species